CUGCUGCCUCCCGUAGGAGUUUGGUCCGUGUCUCAGUACCAAUGUGGGGGGGUUGACCUCUCAGUCCCCCUAUGUAUCGUCGCCUUGGUGAGCCGUUACCUCACCAACUAGCUAAUACAACGCAUGUCCAUCUCUGACCACCUGAGUUUUCAACCACCGAGGAUGCCUCCGGUGAUGUUAUGGGGUAUUAGUACCAAUUUCUCGAUGUUAUCCCCCUGUCAAAGGUAGGUUACAUACGCGUUACGCACCCGUCCGCCGGUCGCCGGCA
rnacentral:rRNA from 1 species